rnacentral:rRNA from 1 species
GACGAACGCUGGCGGCGUGCUUAACACAUGCAAGUCGAGCGGUAAGGCCCUUUCGGGAGUACACGAGCGGCGAACGGGUGAGUAACACGUGGGUGACCUGCCCUUAGCUCUGGGAUAAGCCUGGGAAACUGGGUCUAAUACCGGAUAUGACUCCAUGACGCAUGUUGUGGGGUGGAAAGCCUUGUGCGGCUAGGGAUGGGCCCGCGGCCUAUCAGCUUGUUGGUGGGGUGANGGCCUACCAAGGCGACGACGGGUAGCCGGCCUGAGAGGGCGACCGGCCACACUGGGACUGAGACACGGCCCAGACUCCUACGGGAGGCAGCAGUGGGGAAUCUUGCGCAAUGGGCGAAAGCCUGACGCAGCGACGCCGCGUGGGGA